rnacentral:lncRNA from 1 species
UGUAAAUUCAGUAAGUAUCCUUUCCAGGCCUUUAGCUAAUUCAUAGAUAAAAAGGUUGGACAGCAUGGACAAGGAUCCUAUCGCAUGUCACCAGUGACCUCUCAUCAUACUGAAACAUCUGAUAAUGAGCAUAUUCUGAAAUUGGAUUCCAGUAUCUUGAGUAAUUGUGGAUUAGGGCUGAGUGAGUGCAGUUGAAGGGACUCCCAACUUAAGCCACAGUUUGGGUUCUUGAGAACAGCAGCUUGACAUCUGUUUUCUUCCUGUAGGUCAAAGCAUGAAGAAAUAGAUCUGGUCAGUUUAGAGGAAUUUUAUAAGGAGGCUCCACCAGACAUCAGCAAAGCUGAAGUCACCAUGGGAGACCCUCAUCAGCAGACCUUAGCACGACUGGACUGGGAAUUGGAGCAACGGAAAAGGUAGAAUUUACUUUUUCUUGGCUUCUGCUGC